rnacentral:rRNA from 1 species
AGUGAACGCUGGCGGUAGGCCUAACACAUGCAAGUCGAACGGCAGCACAGUAAGAGCUUGCUCUUACGGGUGGCGAGUGGCGGACGGGUGAGGAAUACAUCGGAAUCUACUUUUUCGUGGGGGAUAACGUAGGGAAACUUACGCUAAUACCGCAUACGACCUACGGGUGAAAGCAGGGGAUCUUCGGACCUUGCGCGAUUGAAUGAGCCGAUGUCGGAUUAGCUAGUUGGCGGGGUAAAGGCCCACCAAGGCGACGAUCCGUAGCUGGUCUGAGAGGAUGAUUAGCCACACUGGGACUGAGACACGGUCCAGACUCCUACGGGAGGCAGCAGUGGGGAAUAUUGGACAAUGGGCGCAAGCCUGAUCCAGCCAUACCGCGUGGGUGAAGAAGGCCUUCGGGUUGUAAAGCCCUUUUGUUGGGAAAGAAAAGCAGCAGGUUAAUACCCCGCUGUUCUGACGGUACCCAAAGAAUAAGCACCGGCUAACUUCGUG